rnacentral:rRNA from 1 species
CCCUUAGAUGUCCUGGGCCGCACGCGCGCUACACUGACAUGUUCAACAAGUCUCCUAGUUCGACAGGAUUUGGGAAAUCUUUGAACGCAUGUCGUGAUAGGGAUAGAUCAUUGCAAUUAUUGAUCUUGAACGAGGAAUUCCUAGUAAACGCGAGUCAUCAGCUCGCAUUGAUUACGUCCCUGCCCUUUGUACACACCGCCCGUCGCACCUACCGAUUGAAUGUUUCGGUGAAGAUUCCGGAUAGGACUUUUUUGAUUUAUUUCAAUUUUGUCUUAAAAGCUAUCUAAACCUCAACAUUUAGAGGAAGGUGAAGUCGUAACA